CUCCUUCCCCUUCGGCCUUCUCCUAGCAGUCCGCUGCCCUCGCCCUAGCCGUGUGCCCCUCGGCCCCCUUGCCCGGCGACCAUGGCGUUGCGAUUGUAGGAGCCGAGCUCCCCAACGCAAACCGCGACUGGCCAAACAGCGAAACCCACGGCUCUAGCCUCAGCGUCUCCGACAGCGCCGCCUCGAGUAUCGUCCAGCCACUUAGCGGUGUCUCUGCCGAGCGAUUUCGCUGCUGAAUUGAGCGUGAGCAUCCAUAAGAACCACCCUGAGCGAGAGAGGUGCUUGAAGUGAGGAGGAGGAAAGGAGCAUUGGUCCUUCUUGAAAUUCUGACACAGUCGCAAAAUUCAUAUCAAACUUCACAUGCCCUCUGAGCGUUAUUUCUUCAACAAAAUCCAAUUUCAUUCAGGCUGCUAGCUACCUGAAAUAUCAAGAGCCUUCUGGAUCUGACUUGCCAAAUAGUUGCUGACAUGAUCAAGGGGAAAACUCUUAAGGAGAUUAGGAAGACUUUCAACAUCAAGAAUGAUUUCACUCCGGAAGAGGAAGAAGAAGUCCAAAGAGAAAACCACAAGUAGCAGAGGUGAAGGGAUGAAAAUGUAUGUGAGGGACGAAUUUGAUUAGAUUUUUUGUUAUUUUUGUUCUAUUUUAACUCUAGAUAGAGCUAU